rnacentral:rRNA from 1 species
AGAGUUUGAUCCUGGCUCAGGAUGAACGCUGGCGGCGUGCCUAAUACAUGCAAGUCGAGCGGUAAGGCUUUCACAGAUUAUUUGAACAGAUAAGUUCGCCAUGGAGCGAAUACUGUUUGAAAAUACUUUUACUAGGCUAGUAAAAGUAGUCGAAUAAUGUGUGAAAGUACACGAGCGGCGGACGGCUGAGUAACGCGUAGGAACGUACCCCAAAGUGAGGGAUAAGCACCGGAAACGGUGUCUAAUACCGCAUGUGAUCCACGGAUUAAAGCCUUGUGCGCUUUGGGAGCGGCCUGCGUAUGAUUAGUUUGUUGGUGAGGUAAUGGCUCACCAAGACUACGAUCAUUAGCUGGUCUGAGAGGAUGAUCAGCCAGACUGGGACUGAGACACGGCCCAGACUCCUACGGGAGGCAGCAGUAGGGAAUUUUCCACAAUGGGCGAAAGCCUGAUGGAGCAACGCCGCGUGCAGGAUGACGGCCUUCGGGUUGUAAACUGCUUUUAUGAGUGAUGAUUAAGACAGUAGCUCAAGAAUAAGGGUCGGCUAACUACGUGCCAGCAGCCGCGGUCAUACGUAGGACCCAAGCGUUAUCCGGAAUUACUGGGCGUAAAGAGUUGCGCAGGCGGCUUGUUAAGCAAGGUGUGAAAGCGUGUGGCUCAACCACAUAUACAUACUUUGAACUGGCAAGCUAGAGUGUGAGAGAGGUUACUGGAAUUCCAAGUGUAGGAGUGAAAUCCGUAGAUAUUUGGAGGAACACCGAUGGCGUACGCAGGUAACUGGCUCAUUACUGACGCUCANGCACGAAAGCGUGGGGAGCAAACGGGAUUAGAUACCCCGGUAGU